rnacentral:rRNA from 1 species
CCUACGGGAGGCAGCAGUGGGGAAUAUUGCACAAUGGGGGAAACCCUGAUGCAGCGACGCCGCGUGAGUGAAGAAGUAUCUCGGUACGUAAAGCUCUAUCAGCAGGGAAGAAAAUGACGGUACCUGACUAAGAAGCCCCGGAUAACUACGUGCCAGCAGCCGCGGUAAUACGUAGGGGGCAAGCGUUAUCCGGAUUUACUGGGUGUAAAGGGAGCGUAGACGGCAGCACAAGUCUGGAGUGAAAUCCCGGGGCUUAACCCCGGGACUGCUUUGGAAACUGUGCGGCUGGAGUGCAGGAGGGGUAGGCGGAAUGCCUGGUGUAGCGGUGAAAUGCGUAGAUAUUAGGAAGAACACCGGUGGCGAAGGCGGCUUACUGGACUGUAACUGACGUUGAGGCUCGAAAGCGUGGGGAGCAAACAGGAUUAGAUACCCUGGUAGUC